rnacentral:rRNA from 1 species
UAAGGAAUAUUGGUCAAUGGACGCAAGUCUGAACCAGCCAUGCCGCGUGAAGGAUGAAGGUCCUCUGGAUUGUAAACUUCUUUUAUCUGGGACGAAAACGGGAUUUUUAUCUCAAUUGACGGUACCAGAGGAAUAAGCACCGGCUAACUCCGUGCCAGCAGCCGCGGUAAUACGGAGGGUGCAAGCGUUAUCCGGAUUUACUGGGUUUAAAGGGUGCGUAGGCGGGCAUGUAAGUCAGUGGUGAAAUACCGGAGCUUAACUUCGGAACUGCCAUUGAUACUAUAUGUCUUGAAUAUUGUGGAGGUAAGCGGAAUAUGUCAUGUAGCGGUGAAAUGCAUAGAUAUGACAUAGAACACCGAUUGUGGAGGCAGCUUGCUACGCAAAUAUUGACGCUGAGGCACGAAAGCGUGGGGAUCAAACA